CCCGCCGUGGACUGGGGAUCCCGACCAGUCCUGACUGCACGGGUGGCGCGGCUGAGGGGUGCGGGGAGCAUGGUGCGCGGCAGGAUCUCCCGGCUCUCGGUCCGGGACGUGCGCUUCCCCACGUCGCUUGGGGGCCACGGCUCAGACGCCAUGCACACAGAUCCUGACUACUCAGCUGCCUAUGUCGUCAUAGAAACUGAUGCAGAAGAUGGAAUCAAGGGGUGUGGAAUCACCUUCACUCUGGGAAAAGGCACUGAAGUCGUUGUCUGUGCUGUCAAUGCCCUCGCCCACCAUGUGCUCAACAAGGACCUCAAGGACAUUGUUGGUGACUUCAGAGGCUUCUAUAGGCAGCUGACGAGUGAUGGGCAGCUCAGAUGGAUUGGUCCAGAGAAGGGCGUGGUGCACCUGGCAACAGCGGCUGUCCUCAAUGCGGUGUGGGACUUGUGGGCCAAGCAGGAGGGAAAGCCUGUCUGGAAGUUACUUGUGGACAUGGAUCCCAGGACGCUGGUGUCCUGCAUAGAUUUCAGGUACAUCACCGAUGUCCUGACUGAGGAGGAUGCUCUAGAAAUACUGCAGAAAGGUCAAGUUGGUAAAAAAGAAAGAGAGAAGCAAAUGCUGGCACAAGGCUACCCUGCUUACACCACCUCGUGCGCCUGGCUGGGGUACUCAGAUGACACGUUGAAGCAGCUCUGUGCCCAGGCGCUGAAGGAUGGCUGGACCAGGUUUAAAGUAAAGGUGGGUGCUGAUCUCCAGGAUGACGUGCGAAGAUGCCAAAUCAUCCGAGACAUGAUUGGACCAGAGAAGACUUUGAUGAUGGAUGCCAACCAGCGCUGGGAUGUGCCUGAGGCGGUGGAGUGGAUGUCCAAGCUGGCCAAGUUCAAGCCAUUGUGGAUUGAGGAGCCAACCUCGCCUGAUGACAUUCUGGGGCAUGCUGCCAUCUCCAAGGCACUGGUCCCAUUAGGAAUUGGCAUUGCCACAGGAGAACAGUGCCACAAUAGAGUGAUAUUUAAGCAACUCCUACAGGCGAAGGCCCUGCAGUUCCUCCAGAUUGACAGUUGCAGACUGGGCAGUGUCAAUGAGAACCUCUCAGUAUUGCUGAUGGCCAAAAAGUUUGAAAUUCCUGUUUGCCCCCAUGCUGGUGGAGUUGGCCUCUGUGAACUGGUGCAGCACUUGAUUAUAUUUGACUACAUAUCAGUCUCUGCAAGCCUUAAAAACAGGAUGUGUGAGUAUGUUGACCACCUGCACGAGCAUUUCAAGUAUCCCGUGAUGAUCCAGCGGGCUUCCUACAUGCCUCCCAAGGAUCCCGGCUACUCAACAGAAAUGAAGGAGGAAUCUGUAAAGAAACACCAGUAUCCAGAUGGUGAAGUUUGGAAGAAACUCCUUGCUGCUCAAGAAAAUUAAGUGCUCAGCCCCAACAUCUUUUUUCUUUCUGAAGUGAAAAGGCUUAAAAUUUCUUGGAAAUAGUUUUACAAAAAUGGAUUUUAAAAAAUCCUACCAAGAUGAGUUCAAUGAAAAGUCAUACCACCCUCAGGAAUCAGCGAAAGCAAAAAGAACUUUUACCUCUGCAUCCAGCCCAACCCCUAAAGACUGACAAUAUCCUUUAAGCUCCUUUAAAGGCACCCUAAACAGCCAUUUCCAUUUUAAUAGUUGGAUGCGGAUUGUACCCUUCAAUCUGAAAGUCUUCAGCUUUGAAGUCAUCAAUUUUCUCAACUUUUCGAAGAAUCUUGAGCUUUGGGAAAGGUCUGGGUUCUCGCUGAAGCUAAAAACAAAAUAAGACCAUUAUUUUGCCAUAAUUGUACAACCUGUUGUAAUUGCUCCUCAUGUCCAUGAAACAAGCACACAGGAUGUGAUCAACAAAGUUUUAUUUUACAGGAGUAUGAUCCUGUCGAUACCUUGCCGUAGGUUAUGUGACAUGAUUGGAGCGCAACCAGCUGUUUUCUUGCACAGAUCAAGAGUGAAGGGUAUUUUGUGACAUUACACAGUGUCAGGAGCCUGGUGCCUCAUCAGGUGUAAGUUCUUUUAAUCACUCUUGGCAAAUUUAUUAAAGACAGAAACACAGUCAAUCUGUAACUCAUAGUAGCUCUAAGUUUACUUGAAUUCCACAAUCCCUAACCCAUCUGUCCCUGGCAGAGAGAAGGAAAGAUAACAUGCAUGGACAGUGAACAGAAAGGGAUGAAAGCCAGGAUUCCUGGGAUGAACAGACAGUGGCAAUUAGGAUGUGAAGACAGGUUACAACCUCUUACUAUGUCUAAAAACGACUGGAGCAGAAAGCCAGAGAGAAUAAGCCUAAAGUCACCCUCCACUCAAGAGCAGUCAAACUCCCUCAAAGGAGGAACUUUUAAAACCUGAAUCUAACCUGGAAGGAGCUAAAAAGUCUCUGGUUCUGAGUUUUUUUCCUUAAGGCUCAUGAAGCAGAUGAACUUACAUUUUUAUUGCCAUUUCAAAUCAAUUGUUGGCUGCUAUAACUUAGGGAUUUCAAAAGACUUCUGAAGUUUGGACCUAAAUAUUGUACUUAACGUAAAAUUAAUGAAAAAUAUUUAUGGCCAGGGCGGUGGCUUAUGCCUGUAAUUCCAGAACUUUCAGAGGCUGAGGCAGGCGGAUCACCUGAAGUCAGGAGUUUGAGAACAGCCUGGCCAACAUGACGAAACCCCAUCUCUACUAAUAAUACAAAAAUUAACUGGGUGUGGUGGCACGCACCUAUAAUCCCAGCUACUUGGGAGGCUGAGGCAGGAGAACUGCUUGAACCUGAGAGGCAGAGGUUUCAGUGAGCCAAAAUCGUACCACUGCACACUCCAGCCUGGCCGACAGAGAAAGACUCCAUCUCAAAAAAAAAAGGGAAAAACAUUUGCACUUCAAUUCUCCUUCAAGUUAAAAUGAGUUUAAAUGCCCCCUUUUGGACAAUCCCCUGGCCUGAAUGUGGCUCUUCCCUCUCUGGUACUGGUGCUUAGCACCUCGCAGCACCUGACGUGUUAAGUGCCCAUGGUUGCUGAGGCAGAUGCCUGCCUUGUCCUGCCCACCUGCCCACCACUUCUCCCUAAACGGAAGCCCCACAUUCGGAGCAGUCAUCUUUAUCUUGGACACAGCAUUGAGCAGAUGCCUGUUCCACGAUCAACCUUUUAUCAAGAGAAGGUACCAAACCCAAAAGUGUAACAUCUAAUUCUCACCUGAAUUUUCAGUGGCUCGAUGUGAUUCAGGUAAAUAUGUGCAUCUCCCAAAGUGUGUACAAAGUCACCUGGCUAUAAACCCGGGGGAGAAAGCAGAACAGUAUGUUAGUUUCAAUUCCUUUAAAACAUCAUUUAAAAACAUUAGAGUAUGCAGACACCUCAAAGCUUUAAAAAAAAAAAAUAAUUUAGUGUAGCUUUUCCAUUUUUUUGUGGCGACAGGAUCUUGUUAUAUUGCCCAGGCUGGUAAUGAACUCCAGGCCUCAAGUAAUUGCUCCUGCCUCAGUCUCCCAAAGUGCUGGGAUUACAGGCAUGAGCCACCACACCCAACCUCAGCAUAGCUUUUGAGGAAAUUCAUAGAAGCUGUAUCACAAACAACCUGUAUAGAUCUGUUAGUGCACAUACCACAGGGCCAGAAAACCUUCCAGAAAAGGAAGGUUUCAAAGUAAAAGCCCGUUCACGUCUUACUUACACAUAUCAAAUUUAAAAACUCAUCAGAGACUAAACUCUCUGCAGUUCGUCUUCCCAUAUUAAAGAACUGAAGAGUUCAGUGUGUUAGGCUUGCAAGUCGCCCUUCCCGAGACAGCCCACCUUCAGGCCCGUGAUGUGCGCAAUCAUGUACGUGAGCAGGGCGUAGCUGGCGAUGUUGAAAGGCACACCUAGGCCCAUGUCUCCCGAUCUCUGGUACAGCUGGCAGGACAGCUCACUGUUCACCACAUAGAACUGGCAGAGGGCAUGGCAUGGAGGCAGUGCCAUCAGAGGAAGAUCUGAGGAACCAGCACAGAGGAAGAUAAGGAGGGGUGGUGGUUUGAAAGACCACAGCUAAAGGCCAAGUAAAACAGGAGAAAAACAAAAGCCAACUCAUAUGGUGGAGACCAGGAGAGAGAGCCACUGGGCUGCAGUGAUGUCCAUAACCUACAGCCCCUGCAGCGAUGGCACGGAACUGAGGGAGACUAUCCAUUGGCGCAAGCUUUCUGCAGAUGUCUGCUGAAGCAAUGCUCUUCCAUCAGAGCUGAAGGGAUCUGGACUACCUUCGUGGCACCAAAUUACAAAUACAGCAGGAAUAAUUCUAUUUGCCACAGGGAACUGGUGCUUCUGGUACACCCUCCUAUAUUAAAAGUCUCUAUUACAUGGCCAGG